UUAAAUUCAGGGGGUCUUCCCACUUCAUCUGAGGUCUAAUUCAUAGGUUGAACAGCCUUCUCGACUCAAGAAUGACACUUUCACUCAUCUUUAAGCUUUGAAGUCUGCCCAGUUGUUUCUUGUUUGCUGCAUAACAUAGGGUCAGUGGAUUGGAUUCACAAUUAAGUGAAAGCAACUUGCCACCGGCACACACAGUUGCG
rnacentral:misc_RNA from 1 species